rnacentral:rRNA from 1 species
UCGUAGUCGACGGCGGCUCAACACAGCAAUUCGAGCGGCAGCGACAAAACAUCCUCGGGUGCGCUUAGGGCGGCGAGCGGCGGACGGGUGAGUAUGCCGGGAUAGCCUGUGUGGGGGUAACCUUGGAAACGUGGCUAUACCGCUAUCUCUCGGAGCAAAGAGGGGGACCUUCGGGCUCUCGCGUCAGGUUAGCCCAGGUGAGUUAGCUAGUUGUGAGGUAAGAGCUCACCAAGGCGACGAUCUCUAGCUGUCUGAGAGGUGAUCAGCCACACUGGAACUGAGACACGUCCAGACUCUACGGGAGGCAGCAGUGGGGAAUAUUGCACAUGGGGGAAACCCUGUGCAGCCAUGCCGCGUGUGUGAAGAAGGCCUUCGGUUGAAAGCACUUUCAGUCUGAGGAAGGCAUAUGCUUAUAGCGCAUGUGUUUGACUUAGCGACAGAAGAAGCACCGGCUAACUCCUGCCAGCAGCCCGUAUA